rnacentral:misc_RNA from 1 species
AAAAAAAUAGUAAUAUACAAUAGUUGCGUGUGUGUAUGUGCGUCGAGUCGGGUACAGUCGGAUAGCGUGGGGUCUAAAUAACACUAUCUCUUUUUUUUAUACAUCUAUCGCUCUCGCGUAUGGGAGUUUUGAGUGGGGACACGUGAGGGGUAACGAUUUAAUAGAAAAUCACAAACUUUAAAAAUUAAUUACGCGUAAACGGUCGGUUAAAACAAAAAAACUUAUAGGAACUACCCCCCCUAAAAUCUUAUUAUCUACAACUUUUACUUACAACAUUUUACUCUAAGUCUAACGGGAAACGCGUAAUUGACUUUUUUAUAUUUAAUUAUUUUUUUUUAACCCUUUCCUUUGUCCCUAUCAAAUUUUAAACCCCACCAUUCGAUUCGCGAACCCCGAUUACAUACCCCUAUAUUUUUUUUUUUCAAAAACUUAACAAGUUGGACAGAUUUUGAGCAGACUAAAUGCACGACUAUAAUAGGUUUUGUUACUGUUAGUAAAGUAUAUUUAUAAAGUAUACUUAUAAAUUGUAUUACUCCUUAUAACAGCAUAUGUCGAAACAUGUUUUUUAUCCUUAUUUAUUAUUAUUUAUUAGUUAAGUAAUUAUAUAUAUUUCAACGAGAUCGAAAGAGAUACGAACAUUCAUCUUCACCUCCUUUCUCAAUAGUCUUCUUGGACCAUGGUUACAAGGUUGCCUCUCUGAAGUCUGAACCCAAAGAAUUGUCCUACCUUGGGACUCACAUAAGGCCUUAAAGUCGUCAACUUUGAUAGAAAAUAUAGCAAAAAAGGCUAAGAAUAAAAAAUUCUGAAAAAUUGACAACAUAGAUAAUUAUUCCAUUUAGAAAAUAAGCCAAAAAAACGCAAGUCUACAAAAAAUUCAGAAGCUGUUUCACGUAUUUUUAGACAACGUCAGCCUACAGAUGAAAAGUUCAACAAAUUCAUGCAAUGUGCAUUCAAAAGUACCAAAAAUCGUAGGGGUGAAAAACCUAAAACAGCCGGAGCAGCAUAGAUCA